ACUUUUGUAUAAUUUAAUUUGCAUCUCUAAAGAUGAUAUGUUGUGAAAAAAAUGAUGUAUAGCCUAUGAAAUGCCCAUGUCCCAAUCGAAUAGCGUUCUCAUACUCCAGUCAUGCACAGGUAUCAUGUAUCUUAAAAUAUAUAUGGAUAGAUUAAAAGACGUAAUAAAAUCAAACGAGAUGUCUGAUUUUCCUUAUAUGCACAGGUUAAUGUUUUUCUGCUCUUUUUCUUGACUUUAGUAAAGCUGGGGUGGGGCCACAGAUGCUGUCUCCUCUUUUCUAUUGCCCUUACCAUCUUAUGUAUCAUGUUAUCUCCCUAGUCCAAUUUUCUUCCGUCUUUACCACAGUUGAGUGUGUUUUUUUUUUCUUCUUUUUUGUUGCAGAUUAGAAUUAACAAGAGCUUUGUUUCAUCAUUUUGAGAGGUAAUCUAUAAACUAAAAUGCAAAACUGAGUCUCGAGGUGGACAAUCUGCAUAUUUUCUUCAAGAAUAUGAAGUAGAAACAGAUAAUUUUAUUGAGAUGUACCUUAGACCUCCUUCAGCCAGUGAAGAAGCACUGACAAAUGAUUGGAUAAAAGUGCGUCAAUCUGGUAUUAGAUAUUAUCUGUCUCUUGGUGAUCAAAGGAUUGUUGACAAGAAUUUCAUCAUCAGGCCAAAAGUUGAGUUUGAGCAGGUUGGAAGGAUGACUUUAGGUGGGCUGCUUGCUUUGGGGUACAAUGUAGUUGUCAGUUAUAAAUGAGCAUCUACAUCAGUGAAUAAUGACAAUGUAUCUAUUUCACUUGAAACAAUUGAUACUCUUGGUGAGACAUUCAUGGUGCUGAGGGGUACAAAUCGAAAAUUGGAAAUGAAGCAUCAAAGAUGGGCGUUAGUGGACCGUGGCUCACUAAAUCAUAUCUUAAAAUGAGUAUGGAUAGAAAAGGUGUACCUCGUCUUAAUACACCUCCACUUUUGCCUAAUACAUCUCUGGCCACUGGCCAGCAAUCAAGACAAGACGAUAAUUUCACCAAGGCCAAUCCGGGUUACUCCGAAUCUUGUUAAUAAGCUUGAGGAUCUAUCUCAGCCAUGGACUCGAUCUCCAAAAAAAUAAAAAAUGGAACCUGUAGUGGCAACAUGGCAUUUCAUUUCUUCAGACCCUCCUGGAGAUAGCUC